rnacentral:misc_RNA from 1 species
GGGCAGCUAGGAUCAGAUGGACGCAUAGUCUUCUCUUCUUCAAGUAUCUGAACAGGACAUAAUGUUGGGUUCUGCCGAUUUGGAAAAAAUAUUUUCCUCCGGAUGCCUGGAUUCUCAUAGAGUACAUGCUCCCCUGGAUCUUUUGGAGACACAUAAGGUUCCCCUUUUCUCAGAAUGCUGAAAUGAUUGAAGUCUAAUUCAUACAUAUCAUCACAGCCAUGCCUUAUACCAAGCGA